GAACACAAUCACCAUUUACUUCAUAUCAUCACCAUUUUCUACAACACCAUCUCCAUCACCUUAACUCAUUCCAACCAUCUAUCACCGCCACCUUCACAACCACCUCGAACCACGCUUUACGAACCAUCCUUCAUCAACAACCAACAACAACAUCAUAACCAAACCCUUCUAACAUAACCAUAUAUAUUUCUCACAACAACUUCAACACCAUCAACUUUCACUUUUUCUGCAAAAACUCUCUCACCCACACAUCUAAACAUACAACCUUCACAUGAAGGAACCAUAUCACUUUCUUUAUUAAACUCACAAUACAUCUACCACCUUCUCACACACUUAAUAGAUCAUGUAUCAUAUUCAACAUAAUAAUCUCUAAAAAAUCCAAACACAACACUCAUUUUUGUUUAUUUUUACUUUUUCAUCACACAAAGCAGUUUCAAACACACACAUACACACUGAAUCCAAAACAACAAUCUUAAAACGUGUUCUUUUUAUAUUUUUUGGAUAGGUUAAUGCAUCACCUUCACAAAUCUGACUCUCAAAUCAGGAAAAACAGACUAAACCACCAUUUUAUCCUACUACAUACUGCUACCAUCACUUCACACC
rnacentral:lncRNA from 1 species